GCCGUUGGAGCUUUGCGCAUGCGCAGAUCGCGGCGGGAGAGCCCUUCCUUAACCCCCACCCCCGUGCCCGCCCCGCCCCGCCCCCUCUCCCGCUGGAGCCGCCCCGGGCUCUGCCCGCCCUGCUGCGGAGCUGCAGCCUCCAGUUUUCUCUCCAGGUGUCUGACUGAGACCAGGGCUCCUAUGGUACUGAGCAUGGCCCUGUUCUGCCAGGCGCUGCAGAGACCCCAGGGGCCGGUGACCUUCGAGGAAGUGGCUGUGUAUUUCACCAGGGAAGAGUGGGCUCUGCUGGACCCUAGAGGGGUGUCAUGCAGGAGAAAGAUCCUCAGCGUUGUCUUUCUCAGCAUGAAGAAGGAAAGAGAAUGGAAGGUGCUGAUCAUGGACCACCCCAGCACGCGCAUCCUCUCGUCGUGCUGCAAGAUGUCUGACAUCGUAGAUGAAGGCAUCACGCCCUGUCCUGAGCCUCUGUUCAAGGAGCUGAGGAAGUCACGGAUCACCAAGGCCAUCAAAACAGUCAAGGAGAUCAACAUGGCCUUCCUUCCCUACGAGAGCCAGGGACCAACGAGGACUGAGAGGACAAGCAGGAGGAGGAGGAGGAGGAAUGGGUGGAUGUGGCUACAGAGGAGGCUGCUGUCAACAUCAUCCAAAAGUAGCUCCAGUGCAGAGAAAAGGUCCGAGGUUCCUGCUGCUGGGCCCCUGCUGACCUGUCCUCCACCCCCCCAAGACAUCACUGAGGACAAACUGGACAAGAAGUUGUGGCCCUUUGUGUUGGAGCCGGUCCCUGCCACCAGUUCCCAGGCUGCUGUCAGGGCCCCGACAAAGCCCGCUCUCAGCUGCUGAUUGUGGACCGGAGCUUCGACCUGGUGUCCCCACUGCUGCACGAGCUCACCUACCAGGCCAUGGCCUACGACCUGCUCAGCAUUGAGAACGACACCUACAAGUACGAGACGACAGGGACCAGCGACUUGUGGGAGAAAGAGGCGCUGCUGGACGAAGACAACGAACUCUAGGUGCAGCUACGGCACAUGCACAUCGCUGACAUCUCCAAGUGAGCACGCUCAGCUCCGCCCCUGACACGCCCCUGUAUGCCCUGCCCAUACCUUAGAUAUGCUCCCACGCGUGGCUGGGCUGCUGUGGCUGGCCCCAGGCAAGGCCUCUGCCCUCUAUGGGGCACUGCGCUGGAAGGGGCCAGGAUCUCACCACCGCCUCCCUCCAGGCCAACAUCGAGGACCUGUCCCAGAUGCUGAAGAAGAUGCCCCAGUACCAGAAAGAGCUGAACAAGGUAACGGGGCUGGAGCUGUUAGUGGGUGGGUAGCAGGGAAUUCAUUGGGGUUGAGGGACGGGCAGGGUGCUCUGUGGGGCUGGUGAGGGACAGUAGGGACUCUCUGGGGGACAGGGCACUCUGGGGCACUCCGCUUUACUGCCUGAUGAGAGCUGCUGACCUGUCCCGUCGGGCAGAGCCAUUUUCCCCCCAAGUGCUGUGUGGCACCAUGGGCAACAGCCUGCCCGUCAGUGCCCAGAGCUGCCCCAUUAGCCCCAGGAAUGGCAGCCCUUGGGUAACGCCCGCGUCUUAGAAUCAUAGAAUAUCAGGGUUGGAAGGGACCUCAGGAGGUCAUC